GCCGGGUUGGGGUAGCUGGCAACCUUCGGCCCUGUGACGGACGAGCAGCGAGUUCGAGUCUCGCACCCGGCC
rnacentral:tRNA from 1 species